rnacentral:tRNA from 1 species
UCCCUGGUGGUCUAGUGGCUAGGAUUUGGCGUUUUCACCGCUGUGGCCCCGGGUUCAAUUCCCAGUCAGGAAU